rnacentral:rRNA from 1 species
AGUCGAGGGGUAUAGGUUUUCGGAUCUAGAGACCGGCGCACGGGUGCGUAACGCGUAUGCAAUCUACCUUUUACAGGGGAAUAGCCCAGAGAAAUUUGGAUUAAUGCCCCAUAGUAUAUAUGAAUCGCAUGGUUUAUAUAUUAAAGUUCCAACGGUAAAAGAUGAGCAUGCGUCCCAUUAGUUAGUUGGUAAGGUAACGGCUUACCAAGACUAUGAUGGGUAGGGGUCCUGAGAGGGAGAUCCCCCACACUGGUACUGAGACACGGACCAGACUCCUACGGGAGGCAGCAGUGAGGAAUAUUGGACAAUGGGCGCAAGCCUGAUCCAGCCAUGCCGCGUGCAGGAAGAAGCAUCUAUGGUGUGUAAACUGCUUUUGUACAGGAAGAAACACUCCCUCGUGAGGGAGCUUGACGGUACUGUAAGAAUAAGGAUCGGCUAACUCCGUGCCAGCAGCCGCGGUAAUACGGAGGAUCCAAGCGUUAUCCGGAAUCAUUGGGUUUAAAGGGUCCGUAGGCGGUUUAAUAAGUCAGUGGUGAAAUCUGGUCGCUCAACGAUCAAACGGCCAUUGAUACUGUUAGACUUGAAUUACUAGGAAGUAACUAGAAUAUGUAGUGUAGCGGUGAAAUGCUUAGAUAUUACAUGGAAUACCAAUUGCGAAGGCAGGUUACUACUAGUGGAUUGACGCUGAUGGACGAAAGCGUGGGGAGCGAACAGGAUUAGAUACCCUGGUAGUCCACGCCGUAAACGAUGGAUACUAGCUGUUGGGCGCAAGUUCCAGUGGCUAAGCGAAAGUGAUAAGUAUCCCACCUGGGGAGUACGUUCGCAAGAAUGAAACUCAAAGGAAUUGACGGGGGCCCGCACAAGCGGUGGAGCAUGUGGUUUAAUUCGAUGAUACGCGAGGAACCUUACCA